GACGAACGCAGCCAUCCGCUCAGACCCAGUCGUCCUCGUCCUGAUGCCCUCGCAGUCUCGCACUGCCGCCCGACCCCGACCCCGGCGCGGCAAGCCGGCAGCCGCCUCCCCAUUCCUCGCCGCCGGUCGCGCCCCCUCCGCCGUAAAGGAAGAUCCCGCCUCUCGUCCCGCCCGCCCGUGCGGCCCUCGGGUCCAGCCGACGCCUCCUUGUGUGCAGCCCUGCUCCAGCGAGCGGCUGCGCCCCUGCCGUCGGCCGGCUGCCGGGACUGCUGGCGCCCCUGCCCUCGCGGCUUCGCCCCCCUGCUGCAAAUCUGGCCAAAACCAGAAUACCCUGCCUGAUUUAAGAUUUGUUGUAAAAUGAAGAGGGCCGGAGAUCACUUUAGAAGAGAAUUUUUUUGGAGUCAUUGAUCAAAUUAGUCAAGAGCUUGAAAAUCGGUUUGAUGAGAUCAACAUGGAGUUGUCAUCUUCUAUAUCUGCUUUGAAUCCCGCCAACUCAUUUGCUGCUUUUGAUGCACAAAUGGUAUGCAAGGUACAAAGACUUGUUGAGUUUUAUCCCAAAGAUUUUUCAAGUGAUGACUUGAUACACCUUAAACUACAAGUUCAUAACUAUAUAGAUGACAUGAAAAAAGAUGACAACUUCCGAGGCCUUGGAAAUCUUGUUGAUCUCUCGGUUAAGCUUGGUCAAAUAGGGAGACAUAUAGUUCAUCAUUUGGUGUACUUGCUUCUAAAAUUGGUAUUUAUUCUACCGGUGGCAACAACAAAUGUUGUGAGCGCAUUUUUUGCCAUGAGCAUAGUCAAGAGCAAGUUGAGAAAUAAGAUGGGCGAUAGUCUUUUGGAUGAUUGUCUAGUCACAUGUGUUGAGAGAAACCCUUUCUCCAAGGUGAAUGAACAUGAUAUAAUUGAUACCUUCAUGACAAUGCAAAAGCGUAGGCCGAAAACAUAGUGUUUUUAAACUUCUCAAGGUAUGUCUAUGAUCCAUGUAGUAUAUAUGUACUAUGUAGGUUUCUUUAUGCAAAACUUAGUCUUAAUUGAGAAUUCUAGUUUGUUUGUAAGACCAUAUUGAUCUAUUUCUAUGUGAUACUGUGAACUAGUUAGAACGUUCACAUGUCGCAUUUUUUGUCAAAAAAUUUUUUGGGGGGCGGACCACCCUGAUGUGAAAAGCUAGCUCCGCCACUGCGUACAGCGGAGGUGUUCCGGGAUGAUGAGGAGUUCCAACAAAUGGAAGAAGCGGCGGCACUCCCCGACAACCUCCUUCGUGGAAUCCUCGAGCGCCUCGAUCCGCGCAAGGCGGCGACCCUUCCCUCACUGGCUCUUCCUCCUGCACCUUGACGUCAGCCACUUCCCUGGCGCUACAUGGGUCGAGAUCAUGGGCACAUUCACGGCCACAACACAUCCAGGCAGGGAUUCUUGGCCAACCCCACAUCCUUCUCCUAGCCGCGUCCAGGCAGGGAAACAGUGAUCCAGCGGCAAUGACAAAGUUGAUUCAAGCCAGCUCCUUGCCUUGGUGAAGCUGUGAUGUGGGAUGGCGCCAUGGCAGUGGUACUCCAGCAAAAUGCCACGAUGCAAGAAGAACCGCUCAAUAUUUCCUCAGCCGUCGUCUCCGUCGACUUCGCCGCAAGGCCAUCUGUGAUCACCUCCGCCGACUUGGGAGGAAGACCAUCAGCUAUCACCAAGACCUAAUUUGCCACAGGUACUUUUGGAGCAUCUGAUGGGUCUUGUCUGUUUGUCAAUUCGUCAGUUUAAUGUAGCCAAUGUAGCUGUUGCCGACGGUAGACUACAUUUGACUGACAAGCAACACAUGCCCUCCUACAUUUGACCGACAGAUCCUGUUUGUACUUGACAGCAGAAGACUAAAUUCGUAAAAGAAGAUGUCUGUGAUGAGUUCACUGGUUAAAAAAAUACAGGAUGCUUCAGUGACCCCAUUGUAUGAAUAUGUUUGU